rnacentral:snoRNA from 1 species
AGAGAUGGGCAGGUCGUGAGGGUGACAACUGGGCGUUCACGUGCCGGCAUGACACACGCCUCCCUCAUACCGCGUUAAGGCAUCGCCACAUUACCCGUCUGAUG